AGUGAACGCUGGCGGCAUGCCUAACACAUGCAAGUCGAACGGCAGCACAGUAAGUUCUUGCUGUUACCGAGUGGCGGACGGGUGCGUAAGACGUAUACACCGGACCCUACUUUUUGGUGGGGCAUAAGGUAGCGGGACUUACGCCAAUACCGCAUACCACCUACGAGUGAAGGCAGGGGAUCUUUGGCGCUUGCGCGAUUGCAUGAGCCGAUGUCGGAUUAGCUAGUUGGCGGGGUAAAGGCCCACGAAGGCGACGAUCUGUAGCUGGACUGAGAGGAUGAUCAGCCACACUGGAACUGAGACACGGUCCAGACUCCUACGGGAGGCAGCAGUGGGGAAUAUUGGACAAUGGGCGCAAGCCUGAUCCAGCCAUACCGCGUGUGUGAAGAAGGCCUUCGGGUUGUAAAGCCCUUUUGUUGGGAAAGAAACGCUGCAGCCUAAUACGCCGCGGGUCUGACGGUACCGGAAGAAUAAGCACCGGCUAACUACGUG
rnacentral:rRNA from 1 species